CAGCCGCCGCGGUAAUACGGAGGGUGCAAGCGUUAUCCGGAUUCACUGGGUUUAAAGGGUGCGUAGGCGGGUAGGUAAGUCAGUGGUGAAAUCCUGGAGCUCAACUCCAGAACUGCCAUUGAUACUAUCUAUCUUGAAUAUUGUGGAGGUAAGCGGAAUAUGUCAUGUAGCGGUGAAAUGCUUAGAUAUGACAUAGAACACCCAUUGCGAAGGCAGCUUACUACGCAUAUAUUGACGCUGAGGCACGAAGCGUGGGGAUCAAACAGGAUUAGAUACCCUGGUAGUCCACGCCCUAAACGAUGGAUACUCGACAUACGCGAUACACUGUGUGUGUCUGAGCGAAAGCAUUAAGUAUCCCACCUGGGAAGUACGUUCGCAAGAAUGAAACUCAAAUGAAUUGACGG
rnacentral:rRNA from 1 species